CCUCUUCUGCUAACGUCUAGUAACUGCUAUAGCUGUGGUAAUUUGACCAUGUGUCCCUAGCUUCAAAGUCAGACAAAGCAGAUGAGACAUGAACUGCAUGUGUCUGACUGGAUGCAUUUUAAUCCCAGACAGCCUCCUGCUCAAACCUAUGUGCCAUUAUUGAUCUGGUGCUGUACUUCCCAGCACCUCUGGGGUGAAUGGUGCGAGCAACGAUGUCAAAAAUCCGCCCCGCCUCAGCAAAGCCCUUUGGGACUCCUGGAUUUUUCUUCAUUGGACCUAUAUCUUUUUCUUCCAGAAAUGAGACAAUGAUGAACGUGACGCUUUGGUUGCCAUGGGAACACAGCAUGAGGUCCCAAGACUUUGCCUGAAAGUGACUCCGCUGAGUCUCAAACAGUAGCUGCUGCUUUUCUUGAUGAAUCAAAAACCAACCUGCCUUUACAGUGGACUCCAUGCCUCUUUUACCAGUGCUGCACUCAGACCAAGGCUGCCUAUGGAUUCUAAUACCGACUAGGGAUUUACAAUAGUUUAUCUAUUUUUAAGUGAUGUUGGCAACCUAAUUUUGACUCAAUAGCUCCAUGUUGCUGAAGGAAAAAGAGAAGAAGAAUAAUCGCAAAACACGAAAUAAGCAGAAAUGAUUCCAGUGAGGUGUUUUGAUCACCCCGAUCUGGUUUCUACUGCCACGAGUGUGAACAAGACAGAAUUUUCCAGGUUUUGAAAGAAAUCAUCCUGUGUAUUAACCUCAAGCAAAACUUGAGAAGCAGAAGACCACCCACUGCAGAAAACAAGGCAGGCACAUCCUGCACAUUGUGGGAUGGUUGGAGCUGUUAAAAUUCUACAUAAACCUGACAAAAAGCCUUGUUCAUCACACUAUAUUUGCUGUUGUGUCCCUUGACCUGGAAGCUGAUUGCUCUUACUGCAGGUAGGGAAAUUAAGCCUCUUCUAAGAAAGUAAAUUUUCUGAUUUUUCCAACAAGAGACCAAUAAAAUCACAUGCGGGGCCCACACCCCUCUGGUAAGCUGAGCGCAAAGCAGCCUGAGAAGCUACGUGCAGUGGUUGCUGCUCUGUUGGGCUCCUCUGCCGCAGGAUGAGGGGCUGCCUCUCAAAAAUAGGCCACGGAAGAUAGAUCUGCUCGUGAUCCACGUGCAACUGAAGAGCGACAGUGUGGCUGUUGCCUCUUUACCCAGACAGUUACUCCACUGUCUUACCCAUUCAACUUCAACCUUCCACUAGUACCUCCGAAAUGAUGGACUGUCUUUAGGCUCAUUUGCACCAAAUCCAAAUGACCCUCUUCUUCACCCAAUAUCCAUUUGCACCCAAUAUUCGGAAUUGCAAAGGUAUCCUUUGGAAACAAGCCCAGACCACAGAGACAAUUCAGAGCAGAAGAGGGCAGAGGAGUCAAAUUUCAGCAUUAUGUACUCAUUUUGGGUUUGUGACCAUGCAAAGCACGAAUGUAAAUACCAAAGUUUUGCAAUCGUACCUCUGUAGAUAGAUUCUCUGCACCACACACAUUUUCAACGGUUUAGAGGAGAAGAGGAGCCAUCUUCAAGGCUCUAGUUCUAACGUGGGAGCCCAAGGACUCUCUCACGUUCUCCUUUUGCUGCAGUUCUUCCGAACUGAACAUGCUGACCUCCAAAUACAGUGUACUGGCCUUUUCUCUGCAACUCAGUGUACCUUGACCUCCCACGUCUGUUCUGUGAGAGAUGUCAUCUAAGGAACACCUCCUUAAAGUUAAGUGGAUAGAGGUUCAAAAUUUUGCAGAAAGGACGAGGGCUCAAGGCAGCACAUACAUUCGUGUCACACAGAGCAUUGCACCUGCACGAGAGAGACAGAGUGCUUCAGGUUCCUUAAAAGCCUUUUUGUUAAGAAGAAAACAACUUAAGAAUUGAAACUGUUGCCUGAAUCUGUCACUGAAAAAACAGGUUGUUUCUUUCAUCUGAGUCUUUCCGUGUGAGCCUGAGCUCCAACAGAGGCGAGGACCAUCGCCAGUGUGUGAAUUGGCAACUGGAAUGGGCUCCGCAAGGUUUGCUCAGGGUUCUUUCGGGGUCAGCAAUGGCUACAGCAUAGGAGACAGCGAGAUAAGGUCAUGGCAGGUGAACUAAAAGAAGAACCAAUUUUCCAAUCUAUUUUUAAGGUAUUAAAUUAACUCGUGUAGUGGGUACAGCUCAGCAAAACCUCGUGACCACACCUUCGUCGGGCUGUGAAUAACAGAUUAUAAUCAUUUUACAACAGCUACAGAUCAUGGCUGUGCCAUUACAUCUAGUGGGAAAAUACAGCUGCUUUUUGAGCAAAUAACAAUCCAUUGAUAGGCAGCUCUCUGACUCAGGAGAGGUUUAACACUGUAUAAAGCCUUUCAGCAAUGAAACCACUGUAAAUCUUGCCCAGGCAGGCUGAAGUAUCUGGAGAAAUACUUAUACCUUAGUGAUCAUGGAGCCUUAGAUUUGUGAUAAGAGAGAAAUCGUUGCCAUCUGAUCUGCUAGCCUGUGAGAUAUGAAUCAGAAGAGAGUAUAUGCCCUGUCCGGAGUUGAUAAGAUGUAUCAACAUAACAAAAACCAUCGUCAGUCUGACACCUCUGUUGUCAACCUCAGGAGAAAACAGAAAGGGUGACACAGUGCAGGCUGCCCUCUGGUUCCUCCGGGGCAAAGCUGAACCUUGUUAGCAAGGUGAGGAAAUACCAUGUCAGUGACACCCUGCUGAACUGGAGGCCUUUCAUGAUGAUGUAAAAAGAAUAUAAAAUUAUAUACCUACCUGAUUUUAGUAGCGUCGUCCCCCAACAAAUAAACGCUUUGCAGAAAAUCAAGCACAAUGCCUUUGGUAUCAUCAGCCCCAGCUGGUGGGGUUAUAAAGUUUGAGUGAGGUAAUCCCAGUUUUAUACGCUCAAUAAAAAAAUAUGGAACAACCUUCCCAGGACAAGAUCUUUAAGUAUAAGGUAACUUUCAGUUCACCUUUCACACCUGAAACAGUGCAUGCGACUAUACAAAGCAAACACAGCCCUUUCUGGUGUGUUUUGAAAUAAAUUGUCAUCCACGCUUAAACAUAUUGCAUCGUACUAUGUUUCCCCAGGGCCCCGAUAUUGUUACUAUCCUGACAGACACAGCCUCCUCCCAAAUUACACUUACUCUGACCUUACACACACUGACACAGAAACGCCUUUAAGACAAUGUUUGAUCUCAGAGGUGCUGCACACUCACAGAUGCAAACAUACACACAAAAUUAUGUCAGUCGUUUAAGUAAUCCUUGCUCGGCUGUCUUUUAAAAUGCCUCUUUCGUCUUUCUGUAACCAAAGGCUUUAAUAUUCAAAUGUUCAUGAGCACCAGCUUUAUUAAAAUUAGGGCUUGGGGAAAUGGUUUUGAAAAGGAGAAACGAAUAUUACCCAACCAUUUAAAAGAUGCUAAUUAAUGGAGUUCUAAAGCCUAGGGAGGCCAUUUGACAGAGCAGAGAUUCUUCUACUAGACAGAUUUGUAACUUAGGGGUUCGAGCGGCAGAGGUAGAAAUAAGAGACGAGUAAAAUAAAAUGCAAGUAGGUUAAGAAGAACAAUCCUCCAGGUGUUACAAGGACUCCAGAGUUUAGUUCUGUGCCAGUGAUUUGAGUUGUCUGCCUAUGAGAUCUAUGCAUGAAGAUUUUUUUCCUGGCCUUGAUGCAAAACAGAGUUUGUGUCUCUUCCCUGCUGGAUCUGCCCUGUGCUGGGAACAAGAAAGCAUAACCCACACAGUGUUGAGCUGCAGCCAGCCAAGAGCAACGGCUGCCAGCUGAGAUUGUGCUGUAGGAGUCACCAGGGCAUUUAUUUUAAGAUAAAUCUAAUCUGGAGGGUACAUGGGCAUAUCCAUACACAGGUGCACAAGGAGAGAGCUUAGCACUGGGAGUAGUAAAGAGACACUGGAAUGGUUAGAGCUUUUCACCUAGGCUUUUUUUAUGAUUAUUUCACCUGACUGUGUAAAAUCAGGGGAACCUCAGAAGACCCCCACUGUAAUACUCCUCUAGAUCCUGCCUAUCACUUCUGCUUUCAGCAGAAUAACUGAAUUCAUAUUAAUAUCUGUAUCACUCUACAGGCGUCCUAAUUUUUUCUCCCUCUCUGCUGCUUCCCCUUACUCCCUUGUUGUUCUCUCUGUGCACAGAUACAACCCUGGGUUAAGAACUGAAAAUAUUCCAUGGACUAUGGGAAUGGAUUCUUUUUGUGGGCCUGCAUACAUAUAUAUCUACUCCAGCUCCACGGUAAAAAACACGUAAAUCUGACAGUGAUUUGUAGCUGGAAUUUUGGUCAGAGGAUCUUUAUAUUGAUGCAGCUCUUGCCAGCUCAGUUGCUCUAAAAAGCCAGAGUGGUCUACUGGUUUGAAAUGCAUGAUCCAAGAAGUGAACUGAGAUAGGAACAGCAGCAAGGGGAACACAUACAGGAAAAAAUCUCCUCUCCAGUAGGUGCAUUGGAAGGAAGGAGCACUGCAUCCUAGAAGCACAGCUGCCCUCCACAUCUGCUGCUAAACUGAGCGAUGGAUUUUAGAGUUUGCUGACCCUGUUCUGCUGUAUUUAAUUCAUCAUUAGGACCUCAGCACUCUGAGAUAUGCCAGUGCAGCAAGUAGAUGAAGGAAGCUACCUGUAUUCUGUUUCUUCCAGAUGAGAGCUCUGUCCAUGUCCUCUUACUCCUUGCCUACUUCUUUUCCCCCAUGAACCCACUUUCUGAACCAGGCAGGUCACAUUGCAUGUGGUUUUACCCCACCUCCUGGUAAAAUUGUGUUACAGUGGUGCCUGGAGGCACUGCAGAGAGCAACAUCUUUGUAAGCCAUUCACCAUACAACUUUAGAAGAAAAAGAAAAUUUACCAUUCAGAUAUAAUUCCAGUCUGGAGAAAAUAACAGGAAGGAAGAGGACAAAUGAGGGAAUCAAUAAGAAGCCAACCAUAACCUUGAUCAACUAGACGUUCACAUGCAUAUCUGCCUUGUUUUUUCAUUUACUACACUAUAAAUAACACAGAGAGCUAAUAUCAGCCCUUGCCCUCCUAGUUCCAUCAUCUUCCCAUUGCCAGAUGGCAAUUUAAGUUGUCAUCCUUAUUUCCUCCAACCCAUAUCAGCUCAGUGCAAUCUGUUUGCAUUACAUUAAUCUGCACAGGGAGUGGUGUGCAACUGCUGCCUUUCCCCGAUCAGCCUUGGCUAAAGAAUCCCCUUUGGCUGAUGUAGUAAAAGAUGAAGGUAUUUGAAGCAAGAAGAUCUGAGGGUUUAGAUAAAACAUCAGGUCAUGGAGGCUUGAUAUUGCACAUCAGCGGAGCAAACGUACCUGUCCAUAUGUAUGCUCUUUGCCUGCAGCUAAUGCAAAGUAAUAUGAUGUAGCUUCACUUUGUUUCACUGUCAGCUAAAUUAAAUUGCAUUAUUAUAUCUUUGUCACAAGCCAAGAAAUUGUACCCAGACUGCUACCUCAGCUCUUCUGAUGUUUGAUAACUUGUUAAGUUGCUCUCACUUGAUGUGUCAGAGCCUCGAGUCUUUCACAGCUGUUACGAAGUCCUUGGGAGUCCUGCUUUUGUUACCCUGGGAUGUAUUCUUGUUUGUAAGUUUUUGUGGCUGUAUAUAGCCCAGAUUUACACAGGCUGUCACAGACUGGAUGCUUUUUAUUGAUCAGGAAAUCCAGUCUACACCUCCCAAGAGGCCAGCACUUUUUGAUUCAAGCCCUUCAAAGUCCUUUUACAAGAAUUAAAAAUAAUAGAAUAAACCCUGAAAAGGUUCUGUCAGAUCCAUGGUAUCUGCAAAGCUAUAAAUAGAGAGAUACUUUCUAAGUUCAUAGAACUUCAUUGUUUUCAGAUAGCUAUUGAGAGGAAUAGCAUGAAAGAAAGGUUGUCUGUUUCUUUAGUAAAAUAUAGAUUGAUUCUCCUAAAUGAAGACAGUCAGCAAGAAUGAUGUGAUCUGAGACAGAAAAACAGCAAAAAUUCAGAGUUUAUAUAAAUAUAUCUUUUUAACUUAUGCCUCAACUCCAGCAGCCUGCCAUAAAGAAAAUGAAAAGCAAACUGAAAAUACAGACAUUCUAAUAAAUGCAGAGGGAAGAAUAAAACUAAGAAUUAUAUUUUGCAAACAGAAGACUAGGAAAAAUGUGGGCCUGCUGCUGAAUUAGAUGCAGAGAAGUUGGAGUUGCUGAAUGCUCUCUUUGCUUCAGUCUUUACUGUUAGGGCUGGUUGUCAGGAAUCUCAGACCCUGGAGGAAAGAGAUAAAAGUCUGGAGAAAGGAAGACUGUCCCUUGGUUAGAGAUCAUCUAGGCAAACUGGACACUUUCAAAUCCUUGGACCCUGGUGGGAUGCAUCCACAAGUGUUGAGGGACAUGGCAGAUGUUGUUGCUAAACUGCUCUCCAUCAUCUUUGAAAGACCGUGGAGAACAGGAGAGGUCCCCGAGGACGGGAGAAAAAUUAAUAUCACUUCAGUCCUCAAAAAGGACAAUCCAGUAGCCUUCUGUGAUCUCAUGACUGGCUGGGCAGAUGAGGGGAGAGAGGUGGGUGCUGUCUGCCUCGACUUCAGCAAGGCUUUUGACACUGUCUCCCACAACGUUCUCAUAGGUAAGCUUAGGAAGUGCAGGAUAGGUGGAGUGGACAGCAAGAUGAAUUGAGAACGGGAUGGAUGGCAGAGCUCAUUUUUUACAAUCAGCAGCACAGAAUCCAAUUGCAAGCCUGUGGUCAGCAAUGUUCCCCAGGGAACCUGCUGCACAUUGAAUAAGAGUGGGCCAAGUAUUUGUCAAUGACCCAGAUGAGGGAACAGAGUGUAUUCUCAGCAAGUCUGCUAAAGAUAUAAAAGUGGGAGGCGUGACUGAUACAUUGGAAGGCUGUACUGCCGCUCCGUGAGACCUGGACAGGCUAGAAAGCUGAGUCGAGAGUAACCUAAUGAAGUUCAACAAAGGCAAGUGUAGGGUUCUGCAUCUCAGGAGGAAUAACCCCCUGCACCAAUACAGAUUAGGGGGUUGACCAGCUCAAAAGCAGCUCUACAGAAACUAGAUGAUCUCCAGAAGUUGCUUUCAACCCCAAAUAUUCUGUGUGAUUUUUUUCUCGACUAAUCCUCUAUCACUAAAAGCUGUUUUGCUUUAUGGUCACAAAUUAAUCCAAUAUGAAGUUUAAAAAAGGGGAGGUUUCUUUUCUGUUUGUAGAUUUAAUCAUUAGUAAAAAUAUUUCAAGUGCAGUUGGCACCAUUAAAGUCAAAUAAAACCUCUGUCUCACACAUGCAAAAACUGACCAUAGUAUCUUUCUAUGUUGGCUGGUAAGAGGUAGUUUUUCCCUGGAGCCAGCUUCCAUCGGAUCAGUAAUGCUCCAGUCUGUAGCAGAGAAAGUUUGCGUUAGGAUCAGUAUACCACCAUGCAUAAUAAUGAAUCACACCCUACAUUGAUUUAGUAAACCAAUAGGUUUUAUUAACUCAACAAUGAGAUUAAAAUGGAUUAAAGCAGGAGAGGGGCUCCAUCAUUGCACUAGUAAUUUAACCCUGAUUCUACAGCAAGUGCAAUUCUUUAUUUUUAAUACCUGCUUAGACUCCUCUCAGUAACACCGAAAUAUUUGUCCACAGGGAAAAGCAUAGCUGAUAUAGGCAAAUCACAUAUCCACAUAUAUCUACAGACAGAGAAAAAGAGACACCAACUUUAAUCAGUGUUGGGACUUUCCAGUGUUAGUGCAGGCAAAGUUGUCAAUGAUUUUUUCUUGGAAGGGAAUUCUAAAAACCAAUAAAUAGAGAAGAUCCCCAGGACUGUAAGGGAAACACUGGCUCAGCCUUGAUGCUUGCUACACCUGCACUGCCCUCCUCACCCUGAUAGCCAGUGCCCACGGUGAGGCAGAGGUGGCUGGGUCGCACACUAGCUUUCAACUGCAUAGCUCUGGCAGUGCCACAGUACGAAGCAGCAGCACAAAGCUGUAAGAUCUGCCUGAGAAUAUAAGUAAAUUAGGUCAAUCAGAGCUGCAUUGCUAUCAGUACCCAAGUGGGCAGUUUUAAAGCCAUGAAUACUUCUCCACUCUAUUAUCUCUAGCUUAAAUUUGUGCCUAUCCCAUUAGUUUCAGCACAUUCUGGAUGCUACACCACCUUCCUACAGGACUUUUUGAGGGAGUUGUACCAUCGGUACAAAUCAACAGUUUCCAGCCUACUGACCCAAGGAUGCCUGGGGGGCUGUGGGUUAUUUCUGAGGGAUUUGCAGUGGGUAGCUAUAAAUCUCAUGAAACUGUAAAGCUAUUGGUGGUAAGCUCAGAUCUGCUGGAUAGGGCUUAUUCUUGGAAAGCAAGAAGGUUUCAGAGGUCAGCAAAUUGAAGGUUGAAUAACACUUCUGUACAACUUGUCCUAAAGUCUAGGAGACCUUCCCAUUUUGUCUGGCUGAACCAUCUACCCAAAUGCUCUUUGACUCAAAAUGGAUCUUAACAAGGAUUCCUGUUACUGGCUCCGAGCCCAGCCCAGUAAAGGCCAGUUUUGUAAGGAUUGGCCUAUGAGGUACGGGAGCAUAGAAGGUAGGCCUGAAGGAGACCCCCAGGAAGUAUCUGGCCCCCCUUUCGAGACAGAAAAACUCACAUAAUGAGUAUUUAAUUGCUUUAGCAUGUAACGUUUGUAUAAAUUGUGUGUAAUCAACAAUUUGUCAUACACAUGCAAUAAAAUUGAGAAAAUAUUCAAUGUGUCUUCACACAUAAAGCUAAAAUAAAUCUAACCCUCUCUUCCUGAGUUAAACCUCCAUGAACAUCUGGAUCAAUAACCGUCCUUCUAAGCCAUCAUCCACCCACCUCACUCCUUCCCAACUCCUACUGUUUUCUGAGAGACGUUUGAUUUAAAUUGCCAAUAACUAUCCUCACGAUUGCUGUAAUUAUGACACUCAUUAUUAUUGCUAUUUGUUAUUAGAUCAAUAAAGGAAAUGUUUUUUCUGUCUGUAGGGAUUUGCAAGAUUUUGAAUUUAUUUUUCCAAUUCUGGAUUCACAAGUGGUUACCAAGAAAUAAUCUGAAAAAAAAGCACAGAUCAGAUCAAUUAGAUCAUUGAAAAGAUUUCAUUUAGAUGGUGGUGAGUUUCCCGAAAUAAAAACAUAAUUAACUUAGCUCUUGAAAAUGAGGACAAAGGAUGUAUUUGUCAUUUUUAAAAAAUAUAGUUUCUUCAAAUGGAGAAAUUAUACUGAGCUGCUCUACAAACAGUUUGUACUGACCUACUGACAUCAAGAGGAAAAAAACACAUAAUCAGAAGGUUGUCAUCUUGCCUUUUACUAUUAAAAAUUUAUAUAACUCAUGCAAAGUUGCAUAAAAAAGUUAUUGCUGGUGUUCUCAAAAAGAAAAAGAAUGGCCUAAAGGAAUUAGGUACAAUCAGGGAUUUAGAGUCUGAAACUUCUUAGAUGUUUUUGAUUUGAUCUCAGCCCUCGGGUCACACAGAAAUGACCUCUAAUUCUGCAGCUCUGGGAGAGCUUUCCAGAGCUCUCAGAAUUUUAUUCCAGGAUAUAUAGAUUUAUUUUUGUACAGUUACCAAGUAAUCACCAAACACUUAUGCAUCAUUUUAACAAUUAAAAAGUUCUCUGAACACGUUUACUUGGAACGAAUCUUAUUAAUUCUAUCCCAGUAUCAUCAGAUUUAGUCAAAUGUUGAGCAUCUCAGAUAUUUCAGAUCCAGGCUUUGGAGCAUGGACAGCUGAUACAGACUGGACUUGUCAGAGAGUUCAAUCUGUGAACUUGGCAAUUACAUAAGCGAGUGACUCAUGCCUCACUUCUUGUUUGUCUCUUAGCUCAGACACAUUUUUUGGAGAAGAGCUGUGGAAAUAGUUGUUUUUCAGAGGUUGGUAGCAAUUCUGAUUGCACAAGAAUACUAUAAAUCACAUUCAAAAUCUGAUGACAGCUUCCUUUACUGUUGUGCUUUAAAAAGGUUACAUCUAAAGAGGUUUUCUGCUCAUUUCUGGCAUCUUGAACUUCUCUGACCCUUUGCCUUUGUCUCUUCACCCUAAAACCUCAGGGCAUUUAAGGUAUUUAUGCCAUUAACUGUCAUUCUUCCACAAAUGCCCCACCUGUCUUACCUUUGCCUGGUCUAGCUCCAGCCAGAUUAUUUUGUCUGUAUAAAGCAUUGAUGCUGAGCCUCAGCAGGUCAUUACCGUGAGCCUCAGCAACAGGGCAGAGCCUGCAGACCACUCGUUUGACCUCUCAUAGAGGUAUUUAGUGAUGGCUGCAGCAGCAGCUCCAAGAGGCAGCAAAAAGUAUGAGUAUUUAUGAACUGUGAAGACUUAAGGACUCGCCCAGCAAAUUGUGUCAGUUCCCGACUCUGUAAAAUGGGAGUGAUCCACUGAAUUCCACCAGAGGAAGAGGGUGGCAAUCAGGUAAUAUGUUCUACUGGAGGCACUGGGGACUGUCACUAUGGCAUGACUGUCUUCAGGGUGUAGAAGGAUGGGGCAGGAUGCAGCCAGCUCCUUGUGAUGGUGUGAGAAAACCAGUCGCACAUAGGACAUCUCCUUGCCUGAUAAAGGAAAGAGUGGGACUGCAAAGAGUAUAAUGCAAGGAAAAGCUAUGUAAUGCAAAGAGAGAUAAAAAGAAGCUCAAAGCAUAGAUCCCAAAUAAAUGACACAAGCCAAGAAAAGAAAAAUUACAUGAAACUCCAGCCUGGCCAUUUCCUCACCCUGCUGCCACAUUAAUAUGGACAUUCGAUGUAGCAUUCUGUGGGGGCAUUUGCCAUAGCUGAAGAACAAGAGUUAGAGUAUUUCUAAUGUACCAUCUAUUUCUCCAUAAGCUAUCUGAGUUGUUCUCUGUUGAGUUAAAAAGGGCAAUCAUAUGAAAAGGUCUUUAACCCUGCUGCAAGUGACCGGAGGAGGGUGGAAUAUUUCUGAACAUACCUGCAAAGUUUGUGAGGACAGCCUGGGGAAAAUCAGCCCAACAAACGUCUGGUUCAUAGCUAGGUUCUCCAGAUGGCAUCAAUAUAUCAUGAAGAGUCAAAGAGAGCCUUUCUGAAUGCAAAUUACUAUUCACAUUUUAGCUAAUUUAUGUAAAUUAGCUCAUUCACUCUUCCACUUAAUCCUCUCUGGAGUUACUCCAAGGUUUGAAAGGAAAGAUAUUCUUCUUGCAAAAUAUAUAUAAUCCAUAUUAAUUGCUUCUGAUGGAGAUGAGUGGGAUGGACAGCUAUUCCAGCAGUUAAUACUUUAAUCGCUUCACCUCAGCAGCAGACCUGACUCAGGUGUACAGCACCUAACUGUCUGUCCCCAUUGCUAAUGUAAACUGUAAACGGCCGUGUAUCGGGAUGUUUCCAGGGCAGGCUUUCAGGCAGGCAGAUUUGGGGAAGGAAUCGAUCAUCACUGAACAGGCUUGAGAAAGCUGGUACGUGGACAGAUCCAACAGGCAGCAGCUCACAUCUUGGCUACUCAAGAGGGAAAAAGGGCUGCAGGAAUGGGAUGAAGCUCAGUGACAGGUGCAUGGAUUGCCUGGAGGACGCUGGGCUUUGCACAUGGAUCCACAAAGGCAGAGUUGUGAGAGGGGUCAAACUGAGCUAUGACAAGAGGUCCUCUUCUGAGGAAGCGGGAAAGGCAGCAAUAGCAGAGGUGAAAGGAAGGGGUCAGCACAGCAUCCCCAUCAGGCUAAGCCAGAGGCAUGGAAAUACACAGGGGCCCAUCUAAGCAAUUGACUCCAAUGCAUCUUGAGUCCACCCAGAAUGAGAAAGAAGCACAGGUGUGCUCCAACAACUUUCCCACUCCGUCCUGAACCAGAAGAGGAUUGAUAGAAGAAUUAAUGGAAAGAAUAGAAGAUGAUCGAGUUAGGAAGUCUCUCAAAAUUAUCCACUUAAUAGGAAGAAAUUAAAAUAUGUUUGGGCAUAUUGACUUCAAUCUGUCCUUGGUUUAAUGUUUAUAUGUUAUCUUGAAUAGCUGUUGUUUAACCAUACACUGGUACUUAUGGAUUUCUUAGACCUGUCCCUUGUGUCUGGAUGGCUGUGAUCAGAUACAGAGAUAAAAUAGAAAGACUAAUUCUGAAAUCAAUGAAUUAGAGAUUUAAUACAUUGAUAUUUUAUCUCUUAUCUUUGUAGAGAGAAGAGAUUAAUAUGUGAGCAGUAAAACAUGCUGUGCCACUUUGUUGUACCUGACAGAGCUCAGAAUAACUCACUUGCAGAUUGGGUUUUCUCGGGAUGAGCUGUGAGUGCGCGGCAACCUAUUACACUGUACCAAAACUCACCCAAAUCCAAGUGAAGCAUAUGUUAAGUGCGGCGAAUGAGAACUGGGCCUGGAUUAGAUGUACUUUACUGAUAUCACCAAGCCCUGCUUGGCUCUGCAGUGGACCUGCAUCAAAUUACAUGAUCCCUUUGCAUUAUCUUCUUCCCAGAAUAAGGCAAGGGCAUUGGCCAAUGUUUUGCAACAGGUAUUUUUUCCCUAUAGUGCUGUCAGUAACUAGUCAUCUUUCACUGGUCAGAAAAACUUGUCUCUGAAGCGUUUUGAAUUGACAUUUCAAAUACAUUUUUUGUGUGUGUAAAGUCUGCAGGAAAACAAUAAAGCAAUUGAUUGGUGACUUUCAAGAAAUAGACGUUUUA